AAGCUCUGUGCUGUCAACACAGAGCCCAAUGCAGGGCAUGAUCCCAUGAACUAUGAGAUCAUGAUCUGAGCUGAAACCAAGAAUCAGACGCUUAUCUGACUGAGCCACCCAGGCACCCCUAAAACUUCUCUUACCAUGUAAGAUGGGUCAGCCUUCUCUGGGCACAAGCAAUACAGCAAAACCUGUCAAACACCCCUUCUUGAAGAUAGUGCUUGCUUAUUUUUCAAAGUUUCUAUUUAGAAAAAAAGAGAAGCCCCUCAGCCACAAAUGGAGUAGGUGAGUGGUGAUCAGGCCUCACUCAAGCCCUCAAUGCCUUCCCAGAGGAAAAUACUAGGAGCAACACACUUUUGGAUCAGUCAGCUGGGCCCCCAUAAAGCCAUGCAGCAGGAGUGAGGUCAGAUCAUGAAAAGGGACGCAGCUUCUACCUGGUUUGCUGGACUGCUCCAGCUUGGAGCCACAAGCUAUGUAGACCUGCCAUGUAAGAAGUCUAAUGGACCCUGAAACUGCCUUGCCAGAGAGGCACAGCCAUGUGAGUGAGCUAUCUUACACACCCAGCUGGGAGCCUUUAGGUGUCUGCAGCUCUGGCCAGCAUCUGAGUGUAACUACAUGGGACACCCAAAUUGACAACUACUCUGUCAACCCUUCCUGAAUUGAUGACCCACAAAUAGCAAAAAUCAAAUGGUUGUUUUAUGAUGCUAAGUUUUGGGGUAAUUUGUCAAGUGACAAUAUUACCCAGUAUGCUUAGGUACUGUGUUCUGUCAUUGAAAUAUUAGAAGAUUUUAUGUAAUCAGAAGGGAAUGUUUAAACAAAUGCUUUGACAAUAAGAUUUUUAAAGCAUUUAUUCAUCAAUACUAGGAGUGAGAGUAUCAUUAUCUAAGAGACUGGUUCUACUAUUUAGAUAGAAGUGAUCUUUGAAUUAAUCGAUGUGAAUCUUUUUUUCUCCCAAAACUCUUCUCAAUUUUAUAUUCAAGAUAUUCCCCAAAGUUUUAUUAUGAAAAUUCUCAAACCCAGAGAAGUUGAAAGACAAAGUACCAAGAAGUCUCAUAUAGAUGAUAGGACAAUUAAUAUUUGUCAUAUGACAAAUACAUAUAAUUUUCUGUACCAGUUGACAGAAAGUUGAUGAAUGAAUUUUAUUUUCAAAUAACCUUUUUUCCUGUUCAUAUGAGUAAUAUAUACUCAUAGUAUAGGUCUUGUAAAAUAUAGAAAAAUAAAUAGAAAAUAAUACACUCCUCCAAAAUAAACUCUUCUAGAUCUGAAAAGAAAAAAAGAAAAGAAAAGAAAAGAGAAGAAAAGAAAAGAAAAAGGAAAGAAAACGAAGUUUACCCGUAACUCAACUAACUUGAUUCUUGGUUUGUUGAGCAAGUUUCUUCUCCGAAUUUGGUCUUUCUUGGGCAGGGGUGCCCUCUACUGACAGCUGGGUGAAUUGUCAGACAGCUCCUUCCCAAAUGUCUCCAGAACCUCUUGCUAUGGAAUGUGUAACAGUACUGAGCUCUCUGCUCUUUUGGUCAUCCAGAGAACCAAGAUGUGAUGUCUAGAAGAGAUGUCUCUCACAGUGCUCUCCAUUUAAGCUAACCAGGACCUGCUGUCAUCUUCCCUCUGCUAAAUAACUUCCCUCUUAAGUAUCUGACCUCUGCCACUGACCACAAUGUCAUACCAGUUUUCAAUGGGUCCCAAGCAACUUCCCUGACCCAGUCCACACAGAGUUUUUUGAAUUCCAAAAUUGUGGAAAUAAAAAUGAGCCCGGUCUAGACAAGUCUCAGAUCCCUCAUUAAAAUUAAAUGUAGUCAUCUGAAUAUGCCUUUAAGAAGUGAAAAAAAGUCACAAGCUACAAAAUAACCAUUGUAAUAUAUAUUACUGUCAGGGAUUAAAACAAAGGAUAAAGAACUUUUACAGAGUCAGAAGUAUUCAAACAUAUUUUCCAGUCGAAAAAGGGCAAAAGACAUGACACAUGUAAUUCUGAAAAGAGGAAAAGUUUUUAGCCUGUAAAUAUAUGAAGUUAUCCCUAAUUACUUUAUUAAUCAGGGAAAACCAAAACCACUUUAAGGUAAUUUUUAUAGACAUUUCGUUGAUAAAAAUUGGUAUUUGGUGUGGGGACAGGACAGUGCAGAAUUUCAGGACAGGGUACAAUAUACAUAUGUAAAUUGUUAGAAAUAUGUAGUUCUUGUGUCAGUGUUCAUUAUAUUAUAGACAGAUAAACUAAUUCACACACAAAUAAAACAUGAUGUAGUACUCUAUUAUUAAAGAUGAA